rnacentral:rRNA from 1 species
UACGGAGGGUGCGAGCGUUGUCCGGAAUCACUGGGCGUAAAGGGCGCGUAGGUGGCGCGGCAAGUCAACGGUGAAAGCUCGACGCUCAACGUCGAGUCGGCCGUCGAUACUGCUGGGCUUGAGCACUGUAGAGGCAGAUGGAAUUCCGGGUGUAGCGGUGGAAUGCGUAGAGAUCCGGAAGAACACCGGUGGCGAAGGCGGUCUGCUGGGCAGUAGCUGACACUGAGGCGCGACAGCGUGGGGAGCAAACAGGG